CGCUUUGUCGGGCUUUUCCAUCCGAGUGGAAAGCUGGGAUGAGAGUUUUAAUAAUGGCGUGGACACAGCGGGGAGCAGCUGCUCUUCACUCCCGGUCCGGCGCCGGCCACAAACCUGCGAGCGUCGAAAAACGGAUUUUACUGGCGCUUUGAGAGCAUUUUUACGGAUUUUAUUAUGUUACCUCACUGAAAGUAAAUCUCCGCUGAGCUUCAAACUGUGAAAGUACCUGCUGCUCGUCGCUGGAAGCGCUUUGUCAUGUCGUUACUGUGUGUCAGAGUGAAAAAAGCCAAACUUCAAGGAGCACCAGAUAAGUUCAACACCUACGUGACGCUGAAGGUGCAGAAUGUUAAAAGCACGACCAUCACGGUGCGCGGCGACCAGCCCUGCUGGGAGCAGGACUUCAUGUUUGAGAUCAACCGGCUGGACCUGGGGCUCAUUGUGGAGGUGUGGAACAAAGGCCUCAUCUGGGACACCAUGGUGGGAACGGCCUGGAUCCCCCUGAAGAACAUCCGCCAGUCAGAGGAGGAAGGUUCAGGCGAGUGGAUCUUCCUGGACGCUGAGGUUCUGAUGAAGGCUGAUGAGAUUUAUGGCACCAAGAACCCGACGCCUCACCGAGUUCUGCUGGACACGCGCUUCGAGCUGCCGUUCGAUAUCCCAGAAGAUGAAGCGCAGUAUUGGACGGGGAAACUGGAGCGAAUCAACAUGGGAAUCCAUGAUGAGUUUCCUCUUCCACAUGACGAGCAGAGGGCUCCGCUGCAGUGUGCACCCUCCCAGUGUUGCAACUAUUUCGGAUGGGCUGACCCACUGACCUUGGACGACCAGGACAGCGCCGUAGACGACCGGGACAGCGACUACCGCAGCGAGACCAGCAACAGUUUGCCGCCUCGGUACCACACCACGGCCCAGCCCAACUCGUCCGUGCACCAGUUCCCCAUGGGGCCCCGCGGAGCCCAGCUGCAGCAGCCAGACUGCUGCAGCGACUCGGUCCACAGCUUGGAYCUGGACUACCGGGACCAGAGGGGAAGCAGAUCUUUAAACCAGAAGGGAAGAGUUAGAAUAAUACCUGUAGAUUCUGGCAUGGGGUUUGAAGAGUGGGAAAACAAAUACAAAGGACGAUCAAAGCCUCAGCUGAGCGACUUCUUGGAUGAUCAGGAAGACACUGYAAUCUUUCGAAUGGGAAGACCUUACCCAGAGCUGGCGAGAACAACAGUCAGCCAACCUCAUAGCAGUUUUGGGGCUGCAACUUACCCUGAAAGCUAUGACACCAUCGACCGAAGAAGAAAGAAAAGAAUAACGGACCCUGGAGGGCUUCUCCAUAAGCAGGGGCAAGAGACAUCUCCCGAUCAUCUUGCAAAGCUUCCGGAGAAAAGAGGGGAGCCGUUCCUGCGACAGGUAGCAGAGAUGCAGGAGGAAGAGGAGCGCUUCAUGACUUCAUCAUGCCUCAGGCCAUACAAAGACGGGCUUCUCUACAAAACAAGGAUGUGGGCGAAAAAUGACCUGGAUAACACUUUGGAGAACUAUGUAGCAUAUAAAAAAGGGUGCGAUCCUCGACCGAGAGAGCGGUUUGACUUUGAAUUUGACUGCGGGGAUGCUCCAUACCCCCCAGCGGUGGAUAAACAUACUAAUCACUUUGUGGCUGGAGACUUUUACGAGCAGCAUCACAAGGAGCGGCAUCCCAAUGAGGGCUACAUGGACUAUCCCCAGGGUCUCCGUGAAAAGAAGUGUGGCAGAACUGGAGGAUGGGUUUCUGAGGCGAUACUUUCCCCUGUUGAGGAGCCGAUUGACGAAUAUGUUGACCCGAUGGAUGAGCUGCAGUGUCUUGUUGAGACGGUCUCUGAAUAUCUCGCUGAAAAAGAGGAGGAAAUUAGCAAAUAUGGUUCCCUUCCCAAAUCAAGCAAGUCGAGGCUAUCAUCUCUGGGUAGCAACCGGACAAAUUCACUCGGAGAAGAUCAGAGUAUUUCAAAGGACUGCAAAGGAGCAGCUGAUUCUGAUCAGGGUAUUUCAGGUGUAAAGAACGCAAUGAGUUCAUUGUUUUGCUCCAUCACUGACAAAGUUGGAGGAGGAAUCAAACAGCCUGCACCGGCUCCACAACCUGCACAGUCUGGAAUAACGCGGCUUCUAUCCUUUAUCCCCACAAAGGCAAACAGCACGGCUCCGGUAGCGGUCGUAUCUCCGGUAGAAACCUCUCCCAACAAGUCCUUCAGUUCUCUGCCUCAGAACAAAAUGCGAGUUCCACAGGAAACGGGAAGUGCUACUCGAACCGUACGAGAACACUCACCCAAGAUCCAGACUCCACCGCAAACUACAACAGGAAACUCGGUUAUAGAAAAACUGAAUCCUUUAAAGCUUUUCUCAGGAGGUGAAGUACAAAGUUCUACUGAWUCCAAGCAAGAGUUUGAGUCUAAAUAUUCCCAAGCAAAGUUCCAGUCAGAGGGAAAGUGGGAUGUUGAAGCCGUUCCUCAAGGUAAACAGUCAAUGACGGACGCUGGUGCUAUGAAAUCAGUGAGGUUAGCGAGUUCAGCUCAUGACAACUAUUUGCUGCAAAAUCAUGACAAGAAUUUACACUGGAGACAAAAUCCAGAUAUUUAUGAACAAAAUUUAAAUCCUCCAGAGCCUCAGAAGUCUACUGACCAAACUGCAAACACAGGAUUUUUUAGCCCUUUCAAGAAAUCCUUGAGUUCAUUGAUUACACCAGUCGUUCCUGUUCCAGCCCCAAAUGCUCCUCCUGUGGYGGUUUAUCCAAUGUUUCGAGCUAAUGAGAAUCCACAACCACAGAAACCAGUGGGAAACCAGCCACUAAGUAGCAAGCCAAGAUUUCCUUUUGUCCCCUCAGAAAAUGUUCCUACUCAGCAGUGUCCAAAACCAGAAGGAGGUGUUCUGUCUGGUUUUUUGAGAUUUUCAUCCACUGAAGAUGCUGGUGCCUCUAUGAAAACACAGAAUUACCCACAAGAAUAUUACGAUACAGCUUCAUCCUACGCCACUUCCACCGUCCAACAGGAAAACACAGAGAAAGGAUGGUUUUCCAGCAUGUUCAACCCCUCGCCCAGUCUUGCUGGUCCAAACCAGAAGACUAAUGUUCAUCCUCAGAGCAGCAGAGUGCCAACUGACCAACAACAUACCUCAAAUCAGAAGCCAGCAAGAAUGCCACAAAACCCUAAUCAGCCUGGAUCUCAGCAUUUUAGCACAAYUCCUUUGAGAGGUAGCUCAGCUGAAGACAUUUCUCAGAUGGGCUCUAGUCAACCCAAACAAGGACUGCUAUCUGGACUACUUAAUAUUGGUUCUAGUAGUGACUUGUCUGGCAAUCCAUCACCAAAAGGCAAUAUUCCCUCACACUCUAGCUCCCAACAAAGUUUCACCACUCCCCAAAAAGGUGGCCUUCUCUCAGGACUAUUAAAGUUUUCGUCAACAGAAAGUGUACCACAAAAUGUACAGCAGCAGCCCCCUGAGGCUGAGAGGCAAAGGGAAAUGCGCAGCAGCAGCCCUGGACAGCAGCAGACAUCGGGCGAAACUCUGCAAGUUCAACCUCAACCUCAACAGAGAGGCUUGCUUUCUGGCUUACUAAAAUUUACCUCCAGUGAGAAUAGUUCAAAUUCUCAAACAGUUCCUCAAUUUGGCAGUGAUCAACAUAAACAAGCCAGCAGUGUGCAGAAAACUCAAGGACUUAGUGGAGGUCUGAGGAACAGAACAAUGAGCCACCAAGAAGUACAAGAAACCUCUAAACCAGGCUUCAUUCGACAACAAACCGUUCCACCUCAGCAACCUUCGCAGCAAGGUGGUCUUUUAUCUGGUCUUUUCAAAUUUUCUUCAGCUGACAGCAUAAAUAAACAAAGUCAACCAUCAGCACAGCAGCAUAAGAUUUCCUCUAGUAAAUCAAGUCACGAGCAGSCAAGACAAAGCGAUUUCCCAAUUUCUAACCAAACUCAAUCUCAAAGUAGCACAACCCAAACAGCUCAAGGAACUGGACUSUUUUCUGGACUAUUUAAAUCCUCUUCAGAAAAUGUGAUUCAGCAACUGCCACACAAAAGCCCCCAUGAGAUUACAGYAAAUCAGCAAGUGCCUUGUAGCCAGCCUUUCCCAACACAGACAGAGACGGCAAGUCAAUCGGGAGUGCUUUCUGGGUUGUUCAACAAGUUGACAAAAACGYCUGAAAGUACAGACCUGACCUGUCAGAAAUCAGCAGAAAAAUCAAUACAAGAAAGGGACAUUGUAUCUACAAUCACAAAGACAACUCCACACCAAGACCAGGCCCUUCAUUCCCUUGCCAAUUUAAAACAACAGCCCUUACAAGGACAUGUAGAUAAAGAUAAAAUGAUUCAUGGUGCUGCUCAGCAAGGAUUUUUGUCAGGGUKGUUUAGCAAAAAUGCAACUGAAAAUCCUUGUUUCAAGCAAGCAAAGAUGGGAGGUCAGGAUGCAGGGCAAUCAACACAGUGUGCCAAGACGACGGGAUUAUCUUCAGAUUUGAUAAAAAGUAGUACCACAGGUUUUGCAGAUGAGAGGGUGGAAAGAACUGCUCCAAUUUGUCUGACUCCAGGACAGAGUAGGCAUGUUUUAAUUAGCACACCUGUGGCCAUUCACAAUGAGAGUCUAGACCUGCGAACUUCAGCUGCUUUUGCAAGAUCUCUUCAAAGUCAGGCAACACACUAUUCAUUUAGCACAGGUAAUCUAUCUCAGCUACACUUCUCUCAUUCUAUUCCUUCAAAUAACCCAAUGGCUUACAGCACAGGAAAUAUUCACUCCCAUUUUGAGARCUGUACUACUUCUCCAGUCAUGACCCUGGAGUCUUUUAAAGGUGGAAGUGUUCCCUCUUUGUUUGGGAUGAYAAAUCAGAACCUUUACCAAGGUAAUUUUUCUGAGUUUGGGAUUAGUCCGUCAUACGAUGAAAACCAGUGGAUCCGUGAAAGUGCUCUUUGGCAGCAGUUUCAGAAUGAGUCUUUAAGCUACAACUUUCAAGGAGAAGAUCAAGGGUACACACAAAACUGUGAAGGCAUGUCAUUACCGUCAUCUACACUUCACUGCAGCUAUUCAAAUGUUAAUCACCCAGUGAACGAAAUUCCUUGGCAAGAUGUUGCACAUCAUGAGAAACAAAUGGUAUCACAUUCAUUUGAAGGACCASGAAAUGAAUACCCCCAAAGAAAGUCAUGGAACAGUUAUGAAGACUUAGGAAAUAUUGCAUGUUCAUCUAAUAAAGAAGCUGCUCUGAACUUAACAACUAACCACAGUAAUGCAAAAUUUGGGAAAUGCCAUUCGUUUAACGAUGGCAGUUCUUACAGCUUGAAUGGAGUCUUGUAUCAUGAAGGCUACUAUGAGGAGAACGCACCAAGCUUGUCUUACUCAGCAAACUGGCAACAUGCAAUGGAAAGGGAAAAUGCACAAAAUGCUCACACAAACUAUUUAAGUCAAUAUAGUCAAUUUAACUCAAAUAGAAACUGUUCAGCAGGUGCUAAUGUUGAUGCAGAAGACUCGCUGUACCUUGAAGACGCUGAAUGGUAUCAGCAAUGGCUUUCCCUUCUGGAGCAAGGGAUGUGGUGGCCAGCAGAGGAUGGCGACUGUGGGUACUUUGUUUACACAGACCAUGAGUAUAUUUACGCCUUACUUACAGAUGCAGCAGGUGAAUAUGUGUAUGCGUGUACACCUGAAGGCGAAUCAUGGGACAACGGACAGACUUUAGAUAGUCUACCCAGUGCGUGGCUACACAAUGAAAUGGUCCUGGUCUGUGGUUUUAAAAUUCCACUUUACAAUGAGGAUGAGCUUCUUUGGCUUCCUGGUGAAAGUCAUGGCAAUCCUCAACUUCUCAAUGCUCCCCUGGAUUUAUCCGCUGCAUACAGAAAAGGGAACCAGAUCAUGAAUUUAAAUCUCCAGCAGUUCACUGAAAUGUUUGAAAAUUCAUUUAUGUCUCAAGGGCAGCAAKGCAUGGAUUUUGCAUCUUACAGAUUAAACAAAGUAAGAGUGGAUCCAAGACAAACUUCUUAUGGCUAUCAAGAUUACUACCAAGAUAUUAUUGAUCUUUCAUGCCAUCAAAGAGACCACGCUAGUCUGUAUUGGAACAACCAUGAAGUAAAGAAAUUGCUUGCUCAGAAAGUUUCUGUUUCUCUAAACUCUACUCCUGUUGAGAAUUUAAAUCAUCAGAUCCUUAACAAAUGCUAUCAACCUAGCCAACGGCGGCGUUCUUCUACUGCUGUUACAGUGAAACAUGUAGAUGAUGUUUCAGAGGAUGAAUGGAGAAAACGGGUAUCUCAAGCUGAAGAAUUUCCCAAUCGGCAGGUCAAAAAGAUUUCUUCCCUGAUAUCAUCUUUUGUUACCAAACCAUCUCAAGUGGAGGUGAAAAAACCUGGGGAGAUCUAUUCUGAUCAAGCUAGUCUGAAACAAACUAAGAACAUUCUGUCAUCAGGCCUCCAAAAUCUUAAGUCUAAGAUUAUCAAAGAUGACUCUUCUGCUGCUGUUGCCCCGUCAGAAAGUUAUAAAUUACAAACAACUUCGCAGGGUAGAAUUUUACCAACAGUUCCCUCAGUUGCUCAAGUCACCCAACCCUCAACACUCUUAAAUACGACUUCAAAUAAAYCAAGACUUUCACGUCAGACUACGAUGGUACAGCAAGCAUCCCCACCAACAACAAAGCCCAAUGUUACUGCACCCAUUGCAUCAAAAGAAUCUAUUAUUAAACCAGCACAACCUACGCCUGCAACUGACAAGACAGUUGAUACAAAAGGUGAAAAGCCACCUGAACAACCACAGGGAGGUUUUAUGGGUUUUCUCAAGUCUGCUGUAGGCAUGGAUGAAAUCAAACCAGAUAUCCAGACAGCUUCUCAGCCAUCUCCUAAUCUUCAAAGCAAGACUGGGAGCACUACUUCCUUAACAGGCAGUGCUGCUGGAAAUAAAGAGAGUACAGGUGUGUCAAAUCUCUUUGGUUCAAUUGGCAGCUUGUUUAGUACUGAGCCCUCCCCACCUCCACCACAAAAACAGCAAAUGAAACAGAGUGUUACAGAGGGUUCACUUUCAUCUACAUCUAAGUCAAAAGGUGAAGUAAGACAACAAACUGGUGACCAGUCUGGUCCAACACAGAGCCAGACACCAGGUAGAAGUAUGUCUGAGGUUUUCUCUAAUUUACCCAAAGGUGUUGAAACUAGCAAGUCACCAAUUACAGGGCAAACAAAACAGGAGGCAGGAAAUAAACCAUCUGGACCAUCUGGUGGACUUUUUGGAUUGUCCAUCGGCGAUGUGCUGGUUGGAUCAACACCACAGACAUCUGCACAAACUAGUGCUCCACAGGAUGAAUCAUUUAGUAAAAGUAUUUUUUCAAUGUUUACGGGGCCAAGUCCUCAACAGGCUGGUCCUAAACCAGAACCCACACCUCAAACACAUCCACCAAGUGCAGCUCAACAACCUCCUCAACAAGAAACAUUUGGUAAAAGUCUCUUAUCAAUGUUUGGAGGAUCAACAACGCCUCAACCUCCUAGCCAUGCAAAGCUGAACACUGAAUAUUCACAAAAGUCUACUGUUCCUCCAAAAGAUCCUCCAUCUACAGGAUUUAUGUCAAUGUUUGGUGGGUCCAGCACCCAACAAUCUCAACCUCAAACAGAAUCUUUUCUCGGGGGACUUUUACAAGGGUCAUCAAGUUCAUCGGAACGGACAGUGAAAGGACUGUUUUCAGUGUUCAGUGAUGCUGGCCCUCAACAACCUCAGCCACCGACCACGCCAUCUCACCAAGCAGCUCCUCAGUCACAAACACAGCAACGGCAGGAGCCUCAGGCACAGUCUACUCCAAAAGUACCCUCUCAACCACAAGAGCCGACUGCUGCUUCUGUUCUCGGAGGUCUGCUAGGUGGAUUAUCUGGCUCCACUGAAAGUCCACGAAAAAAUUUGUUUUCCAUGUUUAGUGGCCCAACAAAUUCUCAAACACCAAAUAUUCCCUCUACACCAGCAACGGUGUCACCACAACAACAAACUCCUAACUCAUCGAUUGGUUCCAAAGAACCCCAUCAACAAAAAUUAGCACAAAAACCUGAUUCCAGUAGCCAUUAUCAAGAGAUGAGCCAUUCAGAGACUGGAGCUGCCAGUGUUACAGGUGAAUUGCAUUCUAGCAUGCCAAGUGACAUUGCUUUGAGUACCACAGUACCCAAUAAGGAAGAAGCCACAAUUGCAGACAUGGAAGUUUCAUCUGACAAACCGAAGUCAGAGCCUACUGGAAUGCCCAAGGAAACCAGUGCAGCAACAGCUCACCUGGAUGCUGGUACUACUAAAGAAUCAUCAGCUCCUGGUUUGCUUUCGAUGCUCACUGGAUCAGGCCCACAUCCUCAACCUUCUGGAGGAUUUAGCUCAGAAGGUCCAGGUAAAGGGUUGCUUUCUUUAUUUUCUACACCAAGUCCUGAGGCUGCCAGCAGCCAGACAGGACCUUCACCUCCAGGAUCUUUGCCAGCAUCUUCAGGCUCCAAAGAGCCACCAGGCAAAGGUUUGUUCUCCAUGUUUGGAGGUUCUGCUCCUGAGCCUUCCUCCCAGCCUGGAGGUUCACUGUUAGGGGCUAUGUUUGGAGGGUCCUCAUCUCAAACUACCACAUCUCAGACUGGAGGAUCAUUACUUGGUGGUUUAUUUGGAGGCUCUGCAUCUCCACCUGUGUCUCAGGUUGGACCUACAAAGACUGGCGGGUCUAUUCCUCAAACAGCUGGAUCACAGGCAGGGACAUCAUUACUUGGAGGCUUAUUUGGUGGAUCUGGUCCUCAGGUUGCUGGAUCUCAAACAUCUAUUUUGGGUGGGAUUUUUGGAGGCACUGCACCCUCACCUCACCCUCAGGCAAGUUUAACAACUCAAAACAAAAGCUCUCCACUGGGAGGGAUUUUAGAUGGACCAUCCUCCCAAACUGCUACAGCACAAACUAGUACAUCUUUUCUUGGUGGUAUUUUACCAAGCGUUGGUGCUAAUGAUGCCUCUAGUAAAGGUGUGUUUUCAGUAUUUAGUGGGUCUGGUCAAUCUACAGCACCUACAGAAACGGAUAAAAACAGUUCAGACAACAAAACAUCUACUGGUGUUGAAACGGGUGUAAUUGAUUCUGCUGCCCAAAGCACUGAGCAGAAGGAAACACAGCAGCAACCUGAGGAUAGUGGCCCUUGUCCUGAGGUCAAUGCAUCAAUAACUGAUACCAAAAUCACAGAUAAUUGCCCAAGCACUGAAAAGUCAGAAUCUUUAACUGAAGAUAACCAAUCUAAAGAAUUAGAAUCAAGCACACAACCACAAUCUGAACUUAAAAUUAGUGCAACUCAAGAUUUAGCAACUCCUAAAGUAGAAGAGACUUCUACAGUUAGUCCUCCAGUUGAGACACAGCAAAAACCUCCAGAACCAGACAAGUCUUCAAUUGAUUCUGCAGCAGAUGCUGUUACUGGAUUUAUGUCUUCUCUGUUUAAACCUGCAUCUGCUCCUACCGAAGGCUCUCAACCAACCCAACAGCAGAAGAACUUGUCUUUUGGACAAGCUCCUACAGGUCAGUCUGGGGCAUCUCUGUUGGGAGGACUUUUUGGAGGGUCUAACACUCAAUCGCCAACUCCCCAAACAGGUGGAUCUUUACUAGGAGGCUUAUUCAAAGGAACCCCUCCACAGUCUGGUCCUCAGACCACAACACCUGUCACUGGGGGGUCUAUAUUAGGUGACAUGUUUGGAGGAGGAUCCACUGCCAAACCAUCAGCUGCCUCAAGUGGUGGAUCACUUCUGGGCGGGAUGUUUGGAGGUGCAGGGGCAGGAGCGACUUCACAGCCAGGCGGUUCUCUGCUUGGAGGAAUGUUUAGUAGCCCCACUGGGCAGGCUGCAGGACCACAAGCUGGAGCAUCUUUACUGGGAGGCAUAGGUGGAUCUCUGUUUGGUGGUUUAAGACAACCGCCUAAACCCCCUGAGCCAGUGCCAGCUAAGGCUAGGUUGGCUACUCCUGUUGCUCCUGCUGCUGUCGCUACUGCUGCUGCAACUCCUUCUACUUCUGCCAUUACUACUACAACUGCCACUACUACUGCAACUGAUCACACUGCUACAGAUGCUACUACUGCAGAMAAUGUUGGUAUUGCUGCCACUACCACUACUAUCAGUACUGCUACGACUGCCAGUAGUGAUGUAACAAUUGCUAGUACCUCUACCACUCUUGUAACUUCUACCACAGCAACUUCAAAACCAGGUUCACAGUCUGAAAAUGAAAAUGUCUCACCAGAAGUAACUCUGCCUAUUUGUGAGAGUACAAAUCAGAAAAUGCCUCAAACAGAAGAAACAAACAGUAGCAGUAAUGGGAAGGCAUCUGAUGCAUCUUGUCCAAAGGUUUCUGGAGUGAGUCAGUCAAAAGAUGCAUCAAAAGAACCUACUAGUCAGGUGGAAAAGACUGAGCAAGAAAUGACAACUGCAGAAAGACUAGUGAUGCAUGAAAAAMCAAUGUUCAUUGAAGAGAAACCCAACACUAAUGAAAAUGUCAAGUCAGUUCCUCCUCAGUUGGAUGCUAGUAAAGCUACACCAACUAAUCAACCUUCCAGUGGUGCUGAACAACCUCAAACUAAGUCUUUCUUGGGUUUUAUAUCUGCUCAGAGUGAAGCAGGAAAAUCCCUCGGGUCGUUAUUUUCACCUGCUAUGCCAUCAGUUGUUUCAUCAUCACCUCAAACRGAAGGUACCGGCGGUCUGUUGUCAGGACUGAAAUCCUUUUCUGGAGCCUUGUUUCAAGAAGAAAAAAGCGUCCCAGGAAAACAAGAGCCAACAACAUCAUUGUUUGGAGCGAAAAUUAGUUUUCCAUGGCAGGCAGAGCCACCCAAGUCUCCAACUUCCCAGGUUACAACAACUCAACCCCAAUCUGUCAACAAGCCAGCAAGUGGUCAAGCAAAUAGUGCACAAAAGGCUCCAACACCUGACCCCCAUAAAACCGAACUGGUAGGUUCUGCAGAUGACAUAGUAAACCCCCAGAUUUGCAUCUCCGCUCCUGAUGUAGAUCCUUCAGCGUCCCAGACCCUAACGGAGAAGGAGAGGCUUGUAGAAACAGACCCCUCUGCAGGUUCUGCCGCAGGAGUGCAGCUGGACAACCAAUCCAAGAAGGAUCUAUUGAUUGAAAAAAGUCCGGUGGAAAGUAAUCGUUUCGGGUCGUCUGGGAACCUGAGCCAGGCUAGCUCGCAGCUGAGUGAGACCGGCCACGAGAGCACCGGCGGCUCCGAACURGAAGAGUCUUUCCACUCCUACCACAGUACCGGCUUACACCCGUCCACCAACGGCCAGCAACGUCCCACCGGACCUUCCUACAGACACUCGACUGGCAGCGAGAAGGACGUAGACAAUCAGUCUACUGAAUUACUGCCACGUUUAAACAGCGACGCAUCAGAAAAAGAAGCACCAAAACUCCCACGAUUCCAUGAUGGAGGYCAGCCAUUGCCUUUCUCCCCGUCUAGAGUUCGUUGGCUGAAAGCCAUCAACAAAGUGAGAGUCCAGCUUCGGGAGGUGAGAGAUGUGGAGCCCAACACCAGACAGGCCUGGGUUAAACCAGGUGGUGGAUCUGGUCUGUAUGGAAUCGACAGCAUGCCAGACCUGCGUAAGAAGAAGCCCAUCCCCCUGGUCAGCGACGUGGCUAUGUCGCUCGUUCAAGCCAGGAAGGCAGGGAUCGCCUCUGCCAUGGCGGCACGGUCCUCAUUCAAGGACGAGGAGCUGAAAAACCACGUGUACAAGAAGACCCUGCAGGCGCUCAUCUACCCCAUUUCCUGCACCACGCCGCAUAACUUUGAGGUGUGGACCGCCACCACUCCCACUUACUGCUAUGAGUGUGAGGGGCUGCUGUGGGGAAUYGCCCGCCAAGGCAUGCGUUGCUCCGAGUGCGGCGUCAAGUGCCAUGAAAAGUGCCAAGAGCUUCUUAAUGCGGAUUGUUUACAACGUGCGGCUGAGAAAAGCUCCAAACACGGAGCAGAGGACCGUACCCAGAAUAUCAUCAUGGCCAUGAAAGACAGGAUGAAGAUCAGAGAGAGGAACAAGCCAGAGAUCUUUGAGCUGAUCAGGGAGGUGUUCGUCGUCACCAAAGCCAUUCACGCUCAGCAAAUGAAGACCAUCAAGCAGAGCGUGUUGGACGGGACGUCCAAGUGGUCGGCCAAGAUCACCAUCACAGUGGUUUGUGCGCAGGGACUUCAGGCGAAAGACAAGACCGGUUCCAGUGACCCGUAUGUGACCGUCCAGGUGGGCAAGACAAAGAAGAGAACCAAGACCAUUUAUGGAAACCUCAACCCAGUAUGGGAGGAAAAGUUCCACUUCGAGUGCCAUAAUUCUUCAGAUCGCAUCAAAGUUCGCGUUUGGGACGAAGACGAUGACAUCAAGUCCAGAGUGAAGCAGCGCCUGAAGAGGGAGUCUGACGAUUUCCUGGGUCAGAGUAUCAUCGAAGUUCGAACUCUGAGUGGAGAAAUGGACGUCUGGUACAACCUGGAGAAGCGGACGGACAAGUCGGCCGUGUCGGGAGCCAUUCGCCUCCAAAUCAAYGUGGAGAUCAAAGGAGAGGAGAAAGUGGCUCCGUACCACGUCCAGUACACCUGUCUGCAUGAGAACCUGUUCCACUUCUCUACCGAUGUUCUGGGUCAGGGCGCGGUCCGGAUCCCCGAGGCCAGAGGAGACGAUUCGUGGAAACUUUACUUUGACGACGUGGCGCAGGAGAUAGUCGACGAGUUUGCAAUGCGCUACGGGAUCGAGGCCAUCUACCAGGCCAUGACACACUUUGCCUGCUUGUCCACUAAGUACAUGUGUCCUGGGGUUCCUGCAGUGAUGAGCAGCCUGCUGGCUAACAUCAACGCUUUCUACGCCCACACCACCGCCUCCACCAACGUGUCCGCCUCCGACCGAUUCGCUGCUUCCAACUUUGGGAAAGAGCGUUUUGUCAAGCUUCUAGACCAGCUUCACAACUCCUUACGUAUUGAUCUCUCUACCUAUCGGAACCACUUUCCUGCCAGCAGCAAAGAUCGGCUGCAAGAUUUGAAAUCAACAGUGGAUCUUCUGACCAGCAUCACCUUCUUCAGGAUGAAGGUGCAGGAGUUACAGUCUCCGCCCAGAGCCAGUCAGGUGGUGAGGGACUGCGUCAAAGCCUGCCUCAACUCCACCUACGACUACAUCUUCAACAACUGCCACGAACUCUACAGCAGACAGUACCAGCCUGCUGACGCAAACAAGGAGGAGCUUCCCCUGGAGGAGCAGGGCCCCAGCAUCAAGAACCUGGACUUCUGGCCCAAACUCAUCAUGCUCAUCGUCUCCAUCAUAGAGGAGGACAGGAACUCCUACACACCUGUUCUCAAUCAGUUUCCACAGGAACUGAGUGUUGGAAAAGUUUCAGCUGAAGUCAUGUGGACGUUGUUCGCUCAGGACAUGAAGUACGCUCUGGAAGAGCACGAGAAGCACCGACUGUGUAAAAGCACCGACUACAUGAACCUGCACUUUAAAGUCAAGUGGCUCUACAAUGAAUACGUCAAGGAGCUUCCCAUCUUUAAGGAUGUCGUUCCUGAAUAUCCAUCUUGGUUUGUGCAGUUCGUUCUGCAGUGGUUGGAUGAAAACGAGGAUGUGUCGAUGGAGUUCAUGAAUGGAGCGCUGGAGAGAGACAAGAAAGACGGAUUCCAGCAGACGUCUGAGCACGCGCUGUUCUCCUGCUCCGUGGUGGACAUCUUCACCCAGCUCAACCAGAGCUUCGAGAUCAUCAAGAAGCUGGAAUGUCCCGACCCCAGCGUCAUGGCUCACUACAGCCGCCGCUUCUCCAAGACAAUCGCCAAAGUUCUCCUGCAGUACAGCGCCAUCCUGACCAAGAGCUUUCCUUCUUAUAUUGACAAGGAGAAGAUUCCCUGUGUCCUCAUGAAUAACGUGCAGCAGCUGAGAAUCCAGCUGGAGAAAAUGUUUGAAUCAAUGGGGGCCAAACAGACUGCAACAGAGGAAGCGCGGGUAUGUACGUUAGCGCUAGCUUGGAUGGUUUGGUAGAUGAAGGGAGUCGUUGGAUUGGUUCUGGGCUGUAGAUGCUGGAGUUUGUGAUAUUUUUUUAGGUUUUAUAAUAAUUGAGCUGUUUAGUUGAUGGCUGGAUUGUAGGUUAGUUUACAAAUCAACACAUUUAUUCACUUUACAAUUAAAGCAAGACGAAAUCACAGAGGAAGAGGAGGAGGAGGAAGCAGGAGAGGAGCAGGUUGUUGCAGAGGAUGAGAAACCAAAACCUGUGGUGGGUGGAUCAGUUGACUAGACGUUAGUAGCUAGUCUGUAGGAGUCGACCCUCUAGCUUCUGCUUUUUCUGCUGAAACGUCGCUGCAUUGCAGGCUGCUGGUACCAAAAGUCUUUUCUCAUGAGCUGCUGCUGUAGAAGCUCAUUUUCUGGCAAAACAAUAAACAAUCGACKCUCAAAUUCCAAACUUUUUUGAAAAAGAUUUUUGUUUUACGUCYCAUCACCAUGACAAAAUUGGCAAUAAACAUAAAAAUAAACAAGUGGCUUGACAAAAUAAUUAAUGUGCGAAAAAAUAAGAACUUUCCCAACUUAUUUGGCGAU